AUGACAAUGGACAGUCACACGUCUACGGAAGAGGUGACGAGCUCUUCUCUCCCAAGGCCCCCUUUGUCUCCCGGCUUCCAUCACACGGCCAAGCGCAGGAACACAAUUAUCGGUGCAUUUUGUGCAGAGAAGAGGCUUCAGUCCCAGGGAACACCGGAAAGCCCUCCUCAGCCCCGCCCAUCGGGAGGAAGUGCUCGGCUCGCAGCCGGAAGUGCUCAUCUAGCGGCUGAAAGUCCUCUCACACGGGCUCCUGGUGAAAGAAGGGCACCUCGACAACACCACAGUCCAGCGCAUCUCUGUCUCCCUGGAACCCUGGAGGUGCUGCACACUUUCAGCCAGUCUCGUGGCUCAGGUAUGGUGAAAAGAAGUGACAUGUAUAUAUGCCUGAGGCUGCCUCCCAGAGUCGUCAUGAAGAUUCAAAUGCUGCAAACAUCCAGCCAUGGCGAAUCAGCGGCAUUCCUUGACCAGAAUUCAUUGAUCGUCAAGGUUGGCAAUUUCCAGUGCAGAAGAAGAGACGCGAUCGAAUGUGGGGUCUGUACAUGGUCCUUUUCUGUGCUUCCCUUUUCUUACGCAUAGAGAGGAUAGUGAAUGAAGAGCCAUGUGUGAAAUGCUUAGCGCACUGCCUGGCACAGGGGACCUCUGAGUUAGCUGCCCACAUUGUCGUACCUGGAAGCCCCCUUUCUCCUGGGUCAGUUGUGGUCACCAGGCAGUGGAUGGUCGGAUCGCUGAACUGGAGGGAACGGGCCCUGUCCUUGUCCCAUCAGUAAGUAAGCAGACCCUUAGAGGGCCCUGGCUCAGGGGCUCCGACUGACACCCGAUUCCCCUGGGCCCAGCUUUGCCAUACAGCGUCCAAGGAUCUGAGCUCUAAGAGGGAGGAGGCACUUUUAGCAAAAAGGUAGAUUAAAUUUUACCUACAAUUCCCCUUGCACCUUUGUACAAACUGCCACCCUCCACCCAUGCACGGUUAGAUUCAGGCAGCCUGGAAUUUUUAAUGCCCGAUAUGUAUAGGUCAUUAAAUAUGUAUUAAGAAUUAGAAAGAGUAGCCCCUGCUUGCAACACACAAAACCCCAGUAGAUGCCAAAGUUCUCAGCCAGGUGUGGUAGGUAACACUUAGCUCUUGAUAUAGCAAAUCGAGAUGCGUUGGGUCUGGGCACCUGGGGUUGGCAGUCUUGUCCCUGCUGGGUGGCCACCCAGACCCUGGCCUCUGCCAUGGGAUGUGCACAGUGGCUCUGGCUCAGGAAAAACCUGGGUGGAACAGGCUGCCCGUGUUGCCCGGCAUGUGCAAAUGCCUGUGAUUGUUGAAGCCUGCCAGUCAGGUGCUGUCGGGAGCUCCCCCGAGAGCUGAGAAAGAGCUCACCCACUCCGGGGAUGAGCAGUGCCUGUCCUGUGUGAGGGACGGAAGGAGAGGCGCCCCUCACAGCCAGCAGCCCUCCUCUCAGCCGGGAAGGAUGAGGAGAUUUUGCUGUGGCCCCGCACCUGCCCAGGUCGUGGUGUCCACCCCAGCACAGUGUGCGCCAUGCAGGCUUUCCUGUUUCUGAGGGCCAUCUGCUCCCGGCCAGUCCUCUCUGCGCAUGGGGCUCCGGGAUAGGGUGGCCAGCUAGCAGAUUGUGUGUGCUGUGCAGUCAGGGGAGGACCUUGGGGUCCUGAGGGCAGGGUGGGGGCACCCCAUCCCCCUGGACUCCCGUUUGUGCCUCCUCACCUGCUUCCCUUUACCAACAGGUAAAAAACAACCACACACCCAUGCGGCUGUGAAGAUCAGUGAGGAGUUAUAAGGAAAUAUGCUGCGAACGGUGGGAAUAAAAGCACUAAACACAUGGAAAGGUUGGCAAAUGGAAAUCUGGGUAUUUGGAAGUAGGCUGUGGCUGCAGUUUGGUAUUCCUCAGAAGUUCCUUAGUUGAGCACUUAAUCCCCACAUCCUAAACUAGUGGUAUUUGGAGGUGGGGCUUUGGGGAAGCGGUGAGGACUCCCCGUUGUGACUUUCCUGGAAGAGAAGGGAGACCAGGCUGCUCUCUCGCUCUGCCUCGCCAUGUGAUGCAUGGGGCCCUCUCGGGACGCCACUCCAAUGCUAACACCCUGCUCUUGGGCUUUCCAGAACCAUGAGCCCAACAUACUUCUGUUUGUUAUAAAUCAAUUGGUCUCGGAAUUUUUGUUAUGGAAACCGAAAACACAGGUGUCAAAAUCAAUCGGUCCAAUCUGGGAGGACUUGGAAGACCAGCUGCCUAACCGUGAGGAUUUUCCCUGCGGAUGUGGAUGUGGAUGUGGACUGCAGAGCCAGGCAGGCGCCGUCUCCUGUGUGCAUCCCCUCUCUGGACUAUGCCGAAUUGGAGCCUGAGAUGAGCUGCUUUCCACAGAGCCGAGGCGCCUGGUGCCGAGCUCAUCUCCUUUCCCGACUGCCUUUCUCCUGCACAGUGUUCCAGUCCCAGACUGGUGCUCAGGGCUCUUGUUUUCUUCCCAUUCCGGCCUCCUCGAAGAGGGUCUGAGGAAUUACGUCUCCCCAGUGACACCAACCACUGAUGAAGUUCGAGGCACUGUUUGCUCUGACAUGGUGGUAUCUUGAGAGGAAGGAAAAUGGGCAUUAAGUAGAGGAUUUCAGGCAUCAGCAGGUCAGGAAGGAAGGUGGGGCUUUUACACACACACACACACACACACACACACACACACACACACACACACACUCUGCAAUGGCUCAGAGUACACAGAUCUGCUCUCCGGAACGGCCUGUGCUGGCUCUUCUCUGGGGAGGAGAAGACAAGGACCUCGUCUUUGGAGACCCCUCGGCAGUUCUUCCUCCCGUCUCCCUUGAGCCCAGAGCGUAGGGCACAGUCUCUGGUGCCUCCUCUUCCUGCUUCUGCCUGCGGCCCCUCUGCAGGGGGUUGGGCUGGUGGGAAUGAAGGGAAGCAGCUUCCCUCCACGUCGGUGAGGGCACGGCACGCACUGGACCCUGUGUGGGUGCUGCCCGGGCAGACGGCAUCUCCAGACUGGCUAAGCUCACCCAGCCCUGGGCGCCCUUGAGUAACUGAGCCCCACUCCCUGCCUGGAGGCCUAUGAGCCCACAUUCUGGUGUCGGAUUCCCUGCCUUGGCUUGGGCUGCUCUGUCUGCUCCCAGGAGGAACUGUCCUCCUGAUUGCCGUGAGUCAGAGCAGCCCACUUCUCCCCUUUCAAGGCCCAGCCCUGCCAGGAUUCCUGUCUGACUACUUCUUCAUUAACAGCGAUGGGCUGUACACCCGGAAGUUCCCUAGAGCUCAUUUCAGUGGAUAAUGAUUGUUUUUGCAGGAGGGACCCCAAUGGUUUUUCCGUUUCUGUUUCCAUAAUAUGUACUGAAAUCCACACUUCAUUGGAAGCAGAUGGUGAAAGCGUCCUCGAUGUGCAAGAGAAGGCUUGGCAGGGGUGCCGCAGGUCCGUCCUCCUCUUGGGCAGCCCCAGCCUGGGUGCAGGAGCCCAGGGCUGAAGACGAGGGCAGGAAGCUGGACACCUGGGUGAUGGACAGCAGAAACGGUGGGCCUGAAGUGUGUGUGUGUGUGUGUGUUGGGGGAUUAAAAGGGAAGGAGAGCAAAGGCCAAUGGCAGGGGUGGGUCACGACUCUCCAAGUCCCUUUCCCGUGUCUGCAGGCUCAGUGUCAAAUGCUUGGGAAAGCGGUGCAUGGCAGCCGCCCCUGCAGAGGAAAUUGGUGCUGAAGUCUCAGCCUCGGAGCCCCAGGCCUGACCCCUUCUGCUCAUUUGCCUCUGAGACUGUAAUGAAAAGCAUAUUCUCCACUGUAUCUUUCCCAAGGACAUAAAAUCCACUUCUAUCUCCAAAAAAGGCAAAGAGAGGGCCUGCUGCUUUCCAGGCUGCCCGGCAAACAAUUGUCGCCCCCAAGCCUGGUGUGACAAAAGCAGGGAGCCCCAGCCAGGGCUGGGCUAGCGCCACCAGGCAGCGUCCCAGGGUCCUGGGACAGCCAGUGAGUCCCUCCUGCUACAGACUCGUGGGUCACCACUGUCCAUCAAAAGCCACUGCCCUGGUGGCUGUGCUGGCUGGAAGUGACAGGCGCCCAGCUUCCUGUGAUGGCUUAGCUCUGGAAUGUGUUUGGAGGUGGCCGUGUCAUGGAGUGCUCCGCUCCCUGGUGAUUCAUCCACUAGCGAGUUUAGAGCUGAAUGUGCUCUUUGGAGGCGAGUCUAGAACGUUCUGUCUCCCCUGGCUCAUCCUUUCGCUGUUGGCUUCCUGGCCACCAUCACAUGAGCAGCUCUCCUCCCUGGGACCCUUCUACCAGGCCCUUUCUGUCUUGGAGCCAGCUGACCAACUGUGGGCUGGAUCCUCUAAGAACCGUGAGCCAAAAUAAAC
rnacentral:lncRNA from 1 species